rnacentral:rRNA from 1 species
GACGAACGCUGGCGGCGUGCUUAACACAUGCAAGUCGAACGGAAAGGCCCUGCUUUUGUGGGGUGCUCGAGUGGCGAACGGGUGAGUAACACGUGAGUAACCUGCCCUUGACUUUGGGAUAACUUCAGGAAACUGGGGCUAAUACCGGAUAGGAGCUCCUGCUGCAUGGUGGGGGUUGGAAAGUUUCGGCGGUUGGGGAUGGACUCGCGGCUUAUCAGCUUGUUGGUGGGGUAGUGGCUUACCAAGGCUUUGACGGGUAGCCGGCCUGAGAGGGUGACCGGCCACAUUGGGACUGGGAAUCGGCCCAAACUCCUACGGGAGGGAGCAGGGGGGAAUAUUGCACAAUGGGGGGAAGCCUGAUGCAGCAACCCCGCGGGGGGGAUGACGGCCUUUGGGGUGUAAACCGCUUUCGCCUGUGACGAAGCGUGAGUGACGGGAAUGGGUAAAGAAGCACCGGCUAACUACGUG